rnacentral:rRNA from 1 species
UACAGAGGUCUCAAGCGUGGUUCGGAUUCAUUGGGCGUAAAGGGUGUGUAGGUGGCGCCGUAAGUCGGGUGUGAAAUCUCGGGGCUUAACUCCGAAACUGCAUUCGAUACUGCGGUGCUUGAGGACUGGAGAGGAGACUGGAAUUCAUGGUGUAGCAGUGAAAUGCGUAGAGAUCAUGAGGAAGACCAGUGGCGAAGGCGGGUCUCUGGACAGUUCCUGACACUGAGACACGAAGGCCAGGGGAGCAAACGGG